ACGUGCCACAACUACUGAGCUGUCGUUCCUCAACUAGAACCCGUGUACCACAAGCUACAAAGCCCACGUGCCCUGGAGCCUGUGCGCCACAACUAGACUAGAGAAAAACCUGGACACCACAACUAGAGAGAAGCCCGCACACCACAACCAAGAGCCUGCAUGCCUAAACGAAGAUCCUGAGUGCCACAACUAAGACCCGACGCAGCCAAAAAUAAAUAAAUAAAUAAUAACUCUUUUUAAAAAAUGUGGCCUACAGCACAGAGGCACACAAGACAGCUGGAGCAGGGCCCCCCUGCCCCAGGGCACAUUCUGAGGGCUGCCUUUCUGGGAGCAUUGCCUUAACUCAGGAGUAAAUAGAACUGCUGGCACACAGCAUCUGGCAUGGAGUGAACAGGCAAGAAGAGUUACUGACUGGAGGAGGGAGAGGAGGUGGGAGAUGGCAGAGCUGAAGGAUCGUCAGCAAUUGGAGAUGGAGAGCAAGCUGCAAUUUCACUCACAUUGGUGGAAUGCACUUCGGAAUCUUUGAAAGUUUGCAACUUGAAGGAAUCAACCUAGCACAGCUGUGCUGGUAACUUGUAAAUUCCUACACCUGGAACCUCCAAGUCUGAAGACACCACACUUCCAGCUUUGCUCUAUUCGAAUGACCUUUUUGUGAAAACUCAAAACACUUUCUACAAAAUGCUUAUAUAAGGAGGCACCAAAGGGCAUGCCCGGGAGAGCCCGCACCAGCUCCCCGGAAUCCGGGGAGGCGCCCCUGCCCCGCUGCACCCAUCCCGUCCAUCUGUUUCUCACUUGCCUGCUGAAGACACUCGGUUGUUUCAGCUUUUGGUUAUU